UGAUUUAUAGGGAACAGUACUUUCGAAUUCCCAGCUUACUUGUAGAUUGGUGGUGGCGGGGAAGCAUAAAUGUAAACUGGUGGUGGCGGUGAUUUCACUGGAGGGGGAGGUGAUUUGUAAAUGUAUGUGGGAGCCGGAGAUGGGGAUGGAGGAGGUGGUGAUGUGUAGUGGUAUGGAGGUGGAGGAGAUUUUAUAGGUGGGGGAGGACUCACAUAAUGGUAAGGAGGUGGAGGAGACGACGUUGGUGGUGGAGGGGAUUUGUAGUAGUAGGGAGUACGAGGAGUGGGAGAUGGUGGAGGAGGACUUUGAUAGUGAUAAGGAGGUGGUGGAGAUGGAGAUGGAGGUGGGGGAGAUUUGUAAUAGUAAGGAGGUGGAGGUGACGGGGAUGGUGGUGGAGGUGAUUUGUAAUAGUAGGGAGGUGGUGGAGAUGGCGAUGGUGGUGGUGGAGAGUGAUAGUAGUAUGGGGGAGGAGGGGACGGAGAAGGUGGGGGUGGGCUCUUGUAAUAGUAUGGAGGUGGAGGAGAUGGAGAUGGUGGAGGGGGACUCUUGUAGUAGUAAGGAGGUGGUGGAGAUGGCGAUGGUGGUGGUGGAGAGUGGUAGUAGUAUGGGGGAGGAGGGGAGGGAGACGGUGGAGGUGGACUCUUGUAAUAGUACGGAGGUGGAGGGGAUGGAGAUGGUGGAGGGGGACUCUUGUAAUAGUAUGGAGGUGGAGGUGAUGGGGAUGGUGGUGGAGGUGAUUUGUAGUAAUAAGGAGGUGGUGGAGAUGGCGAUGGUGGUGGUGGAGACUUGUAGUAGUAAGGUGGGGGAGGGGAUGGUGAGGGUGGUGGAGGAGAUUUGUAAUAGUAUGGAGGUGGAGGGGAUGGUGAUGGUGGAGGUGGUGACUUGUAAUAGUAUGGUGGAGGAGGGGAUGGUGAUGGUGGUGGUGGAGACUUGUAGUAGUAAGGUGGGGGAGGGGAUGGUGAAGGUGGUGGAGGAGACUUGUAGUAGUAAGGUGGGGGAGGGGAUGGUGAAGGUGGUGGAGGAGACUUGUAGUAGUAAGGUGGGGGAGGGGAUGGUGAAGGUGGUGGAGGAGACUUGUAAUAGUAUGGUGGAGGAGGGGAUGGUGAUGGUGGGGGUGGUGACUUAUAGUAGUAUGGUGGGUGUGGAAUUUCUUUAGGUGGGGGAGGAGAAUGAUAAUAGUAUGGUGGAGGGGGGGAUGAUCUUGGAGGUGGAGGAGAUUUGUAAUAGUAUAAGGUGGGGGAGGGGAUGGUGAAGGUGGUGGAGGAGACUUGUAGUAGUAAGGUGGGGGAGGGGAUGGUGAAGGUGGUGGAGGAGACUUGUAAUAGUAUGGUGGAGGAGGGGAUGGUGAUGGUGGGGGUGGUGACUUAUAGUAGUAUGGUGGGUGUGGAAUUUCUUUAGGUGGGGGAGGAGAAUGAUAAUAGUAUGGUGGAGGGGGGGAUGAUCUUGGAGGUGGAGGAGAUUUGUAAUAGUAUGGAGGUGGAGGGGAUGGAGAUGGUGGUGGUGGAGACUUGUAGUAAUAAGGUGGAGAAUAAUAAUGGACGGGUGGAGGCGGAGAUUUGUACUUAUAGACUGGUGUUGGAGGAGGAGGUGAUUUGUAGUAGUAAGGAGGGUUAGGUAUAGGUGAUGGUGGAGGUGGAGACUUGUAGUAAUAUGGAGGAGAAUAGUAAUGUACAGGUGGAGGUGGAGACUUGUACACGUAAGUAGGUGAUGGUGGAGGUGGUGACUUGUACAAGUAAGUAGGUGAUGGUGGAGGAGGUGAUUUGUACAAGUAAGUUGGUGAUGGUGGUGGUGGGGAAUUGUACUUGUAAACUGGUGUUGGAGGAGGAGGUGACUUGUAGUAGUAAGGAGGUGUAGGUACAGGAGAUGGUGGAGGUGGAGAAUUGUAAUAAUAAGGGGGUGAUUUCACAGGAGGGGGAGGUGACUUGUAGUAAUACGGAGGAGAAUAAUAAUGGACAGGCGGAGGGGGUGACUUGUACGUGUAAGUUGGUGACGGUGGAGGCGGUGACUUGUAUAUGUAAACUGGUGUAGGAGGAGGAGGUGACUUGUAGUAGUAAGGAGUUGGUGAAGGCUUAGGUUUUUCACAUUCUUCAAAAUGCUUCUUAGAAGCAUAAGCGAAGGGCUUAGCCUUGAGCACAACUUCAUACUUAUCUUUGGAUUUGACCUUCAAGUCGGUUCCCUCGUUGAGCUUAGUAGGUAUGUUGAAGGGAGAGUUUUUAGGUGGAGCAUAAAGCUUGGCUUUGCACACUACGGAACCAUAUUUGACAUAAUUAAAGUUCGGAACUGUGAUGCUAUACUUUCCAUUGCUCUUAGUUUUACCGUAGGCCUUGAUGAUGUUCCUUCCAGCUUUGCAUUUUACCUCAACAACAGCACCUGUUUGAAAUUAAUAUAUUUUACAUGUUUCAACGUAGUGAAAUAUAAAUAAUGACAGAAAUAUUACAACGCCUUAUUUUAAGCAGAGCACGUGUCUAGCUAAGCUAUCCAUGUCCCAGAGCAUGUUCUUUAUUAGGUAGCAUUAUUCAAAAGAUAACGAAUCAAAAUAUCUGUCGUAUUGGUUUUCUUUAUUACAGGCUACAACCAAUUAUUAAAAAUGUUGUAUCUAUUUAUAAUUAAGUUGAUUCUUUUAAUAGGUCUUGGUGCUCAAAGGUGAAGGGUGCAUGCAGAAGAUAAAAUGCUUCAUUUACUGUUUAAAAAUGAAUAACUAAACUUUUAAUGCACACACUAUUACCAACUGUGUAAUAAAAUCUAUUAUAUUUGAGUAUAAUAAUUAUGCAAUAUUUACACAAAUAUCUGUAUGGCGGGAUAUAAUUGAACUUUGUGUAAUUUUUUUUACACUCUUCAUACUAACUAAAUCCAUUAUUUUUUUCUCAAACUAUAAAAAUAUUUAAAUGAUAUUUAACAUGAAUAAUUUAUUGUAAAAACUAAAGAUUUGAGCUAAAUUUUAAGAUUUCAAGAUAUUUACAAUAUCCGAGCCUCAUCCAAAAGUGACAAAUUAAUUAGUAACAGCUUUUCUAUAAAAAUUAGUGUAGAGAUUAAAAUCAAAGGGUUGAAAAAUGAAUGUAAUGUACCUUUGAGGUGUUUCUUAUCAUGAGACUUUUCGGGAUACUCCCAGUCAUAACAUUUGUAGCUAUAUACUUUACCCACUACCUUCACAAUCAAUGGGUGGUGGUAGGGAUGUGGGUAAGGAUGUGGAGGAUACACAACAGGUGGAGGAGGAGAAUUAUAGUAAUAUGGAGGUGGAGUGUACUUGGGUGGUGGUGGGGAUUUAUAGUAGUAAGGUGUUGGUGGUGGUGGCGAUUUUACAGGAGGUGGUGGAGAAUUGUAGUAGUAAGGUGGAUGGGGGAUUGGAGAUGGAGGAGGAGGAGAUUUGUAAUAAUAAGGUGGUGGAGGAGAUGGUGAAGGUGGUGGAGGAGAUUUGUAAUAAUAUGGUGGCGGAGGAGACGGUGAAGGAGGUGGUGGGGAUUUAUAAUAAUAUGGUGGUGGAGGAGACGGUGAAGGAGGUGGUGGGGAUUUGUAAUAGUAUGGUGGGGCCUUGUGUUCAUAUGGUGGUGGAGGAGAUUUAUAGUAGUAAGGAGGUGGAGGUGAGGGAGAAGGUGGAGGAGGAGACUUGUAGUAGUAAGGUGGAGGAGGGGAGGGAGAGGGUGGUGGGGGAGAUUUGUAAUAGUAAGGAGGUGGAAGUGAUGGAGAGGGUGGUGGAGGAGACUUAUAGUAGUAUGGUGGAGGAGGGGAGGGUGAGGGUGGUGGGGGAGAUUUGUAGUAGUAAGGAGGUGGAGGUGAUGGAGAGGGCGGAGGCGGAGACUUGUAGUAGUAUGGUGGAGCCUUGUGCUCAUAUGGCGGGGGAGGAGACUUGUAAUAGUAAGGUGGGGGAGGGGAUGAAGAGGGUGGUGGGGGAGAUUUGUAGUAGUAAGGAGGUGGUGGGGAGGGAGAGGGUGGUGGAGGAGAUUUGUAGUAGUAUGGUGGAGGAGGGGAGGGUGAGGGUGGUGGGGGGGAUUUGUAGUAGUAAGGAGGUGGAGGGGAAGGAGAGGGUGGGGGAGGAGACUUGUAGUAGUAUGGUGGAGGAGGGGAAGGUGAGGGUGGUGGGGGAGAUUUGUAGUAGUAAGGAGGUGGAGGGGAGGGAGAGGGUGGAGGAGGAGACUUGUAGUAGUAUGGUGGAGGAGGGGAGGGUGAAGGUGGUGGGGGAGAUUUGUAGUAGUAAGGAGGUGGAGGUGAUGGAGAAGGUGGUGGAGGAGACUUGUAAUAGUAAGGUGGGGGAGGGGAUGGUGAUGGUGGAGGUGGAGACUUGUACUCAUAAGGAGGUGGUGGUGAAGGAGAUGGUGGUGGAGGUGACUUGUAUUCAUACGGUGGAGCCUUGUGCUCAUACGGAGGUGGAGGUGAUGGGGAAGGAGGUGGUGGAGACUUGUAUUCGUAAGGUGGUGGUGGUGAAGGAGAUGGUGGAGGAGGUGACUUGUACACAUAAGGUGGAGCUUUGUGCUCGUAUGGUGGUGGUGGUGAAGGAGAUGGUGGCGGAGGUGACUUGUACUCAUAAGAAGGUGGUGGAGGAGAAUAGUAUGGGUAACCAUCAGCAGCAACGGAAGCCACGGUAGUAGAAAUCAGAACAAUGGCCAAUGCCAUGGCCAUUUGCGGCCGAA
rnacentral:lncRNA from 1 species